rnacentral:rRNA from 1 species
AGUGAACGCUGGCGGUAGGCCUAACACAUGCAAGUCGAACGGCAGCACAGUAAGAGCUUGCUCUUACGGGUGGCGAGUGGCGGACGGGUGAGGAAUACAUCGGAAUCUACUUUUUCGUGGGGGAUAACGUAGGGAAACUUACGCUAAUACCGCAUACGACCUACGGGUGAAAGCAGGGGAUCUUCGCACCUUGCGCGAUUGAAUGAGCCGAUGUCGGAUUAGCUAGUUGGCGGGGUAAAGGCCCACCAAGGCGACGAUCCGUAGCUGGUCUGAGAGGAUGAUCAGCCACACUGGAACUGAGACACGGUCCAGACUCCUACGGGAGGCAGCAGUGGGGAAUAUUGGACAAUGGGCGCAAGCCUGAUCCAGCCAUACCGCGUGGGUGAAGAAGGCCUUCGGGUUGUAAAGCCCUGUUGUUGGGGAAGAAAAGCAGCGGGUUAAUACCCCGCUGUUCUGACGGUACCCAAAGAAUAAGCACCGGCUAACUUCGUG